AGCACCACCACUCUCGGCCAUCUCUCCGUCGUCGGACCCAAGAUAUUCUACAAUGUCGGAAGCACGUAGUAGCACUAGCAAUAUCUCACGCUCAAAGAACACUUGUCAAAAUGAAUACCCAAUAUGCUUUUGUGGUAUUAAAGCAUGCAGACGAACUGCGCAUACAGAGGAUAAUGACGGGCGUCAAUUUUUCACGUGUCAAAACUUUCAGGCUGGGCAUUCUUGCGGAUAUUUUUGUUGGUAUGACCCAGAAAUACCACCAUAUGGCAAGAAGAAAAUCAACCGUUUGAAAAACGAAAUUGAAAAAAUACAACUAGCAAUGGAUGUCCAAACAACUCGACGUCGACUAGAAAUAGAGAUUGAGAGGCGCAAGAGAAAUGUUGAGAGAGUCAUUGUAAUUUUAGUAAUUUCAA